UACCUCUCAGGGUCGCAUCUGGAGAGUUUCCAGUCCUCUACCAGUCUCGACUGCGACAGGGAGAGUCAAGCAGAGGCCUGACCAUCCCAUUUCUAGCUUGGUCAGUGGCUAGCGAGUGGAAGGCCAUCUGCUACAGGU